UUGAAUAUACACACACACAAAAAAAAGAAUAUAUCUGUAACAUGUUACAUCUUUAAAGGAGUUCUCAGAGCUGCCAGUCUUACACUAGAAGUUUAAUAGUAGUAUAUUUCUCUUACAGAA